rnacentral:rRNA from 1 species
CAUAGCUUAACGAGGCGAACCGGGAGAACUGAAACAUCUAAGUACCCCGAGGAAAAGAAAUCAACCGAGAUUCCGUUAGUAGCGGCGAGCGAACGCGGAGCAGCCCAGAGUCUGAAUCAGUGGAUGCGUUAGUGGAACGGAUUGGAAAGUCCGGCGAUACAGGGUGAUAGCCCCGUACACGAAGACGCAUUGCUGUGAGCUCGAUGAGUAGGACGGGACACGUGGUAUCCUGUUUGAAGAUGGGGGGACCAUCCUCCAAGGCUAAAUACUCCUGACUGACCGAUAGCGAACCAGUACCGUGAGGGAAAGGCGAAAAGAACCCCUGUGAGGGGAGUGAAAUAGAACCUGAAACCGUGUACGUACAAGCAGUGGGAGCACCUUCGUGGUGUGACUGCGUACCUUUUGUAUAAUGGGUCAGCGACUUACAUUUUGUAGCGAGGUUAACCGAAUAGGGGAGCCGUAGGGAAACCGAGUCUUAACUGGGCGAAUUAGUUGCAAGGUGUAGACCCGAAACCCGGUGAUCUAGCCAUGGGCAGGUUGAAGGUUGGGUAACACUAACUGGAGGACCGAACCGACUAAUGUUGAAAAAUUAGCGGAUGACUUGUGGCUGGGGGUGAAAGGCCAAUCAAACCGGGAGAUAGCUGGUUCUCCCCGAAAGCUAUUUAGGUAGCGCCUCGGACGAACACCUACGGGGGUAGAGCACUGUUAAGGCUAGGGGGUCAUCCCGACUUACCAACCCUUUGCAAACUCCGAAUACCGUAGAGUGCUAUCCGGGAGACACACGGCGGGUGCUAACGUCCGUCGUGAAGAGGGAAACAACCCAGACCGCCAGCUAAGGUCCCAAAGUCAUGGUUAAGUGGGAAACGAUGUGGGAAGGCUUAGACAGCUAGGAUGUUGGCUUAGAAGCAGCCAUCAUUUAAAGAAAGCGUAAUAGCUCACUAGUCGAGUCGGCCUGCGCGGAAGAUGUAACGGGGCUAAACCAUGCACCGAAGCUGCGGCAAUGACA